rnacentral:tRNA from 1 species
AGUCAGAUAGCCAAAUGGUUAACGCAUCACACCUAGAAUUGUGGGUCAGCUUGCACUGAGGUCCCUGGUUCGAAUCCGGGUCUGAUUA